rnacentral:rRNA from 1 species
UACGUAGGGGGCAAGCGUUGUCCGGAUUUAUUGGGCGUAAAGAGCGUGUAGGCGGCUUGGUAGGUCCGCUGUGAAAACUCGAGGCUCAACCUCGAGAUGUCGGCGGAAACCACUUGGCUAGAGUCCGGAAGAGGAGAGUGGAAUUCCCGGUGUAGCGGUGAAAUGCGCAGAUAUCGGGGAAGAACACCUAUGGCGAAGGCAGCUCUCUGGGACGGUACUGACGCUGAGACGCGAAAGCGUGGGGAGCGAACAGGG